rnacentral:lncRNA from 1 species
UUCAACAGAAACUUAAGUUCAUUCGCUAUAGCAGUUGCAGCAGAAAAUGGUUAGCUAUCUUAAAUGCUGUGGAGAAAGUUUAUGGUUCAACAAUUGACAAGCAUUUAUGAUGCUGUAAAUCCUUUAUUGUAUGUUGGAUCAGAUACUGAGACCAAAGACAAUCAGUGGCUUUCAUGGUGUGCAUCAAGAGAAUCAAGAUGAAAAAAAAAAAGGAAAAGUUGCACUACACUACUAAAGAAUCAAGAGUGGAAAUAUUUGGGAAUUGUGAAAAAGAGGACAUGACGUAGAUAUUUGGAAUAUACAUAGCCAACACUUCCACCCAGCUUUUCAACAACAACAACAACAACAACAAAAGGCUCCUUCUCUCUGGUAUAAAUCAGCCCCAGUCACUCAACAGUCUGAAAGACACUGAGGCAAGGAUGGGUGAAAGACAAAGUUAUUUCAUAUUUCUAAUUUGAAGAUGAGAAUCGCAGUGAAAACUUUGGACAUACUUCUGAUUCAAUAAGCCUAUAAAAGCAGAAUGUAGAAAAGAGUAACACAGAGAAGAUUCAUGAAUGGCUCCAAGGAAAGAGACACUGGUUAUCAGCAUCUUGUGCAAGGGAUUGGCAUCAGUCCCACGUUCCAGUCAGUCCUCUGCCACACGGCUGUUCGAUGAUCUUGCAAGAAACUCAGGCUGUAUUUCUAAAACAAUGGCUUUGAAUCUGCAGUCCAAAAAUCCCUGAGAGUUCACGGCCCUUUUCUGGAAAUGUGAAGUUAACAAGAUAAUUCUCAAGAAGCAUAAAGUUGAUAUGCUGCCAUCUACAGCUUCGCUGGAAAAAGAUUUAAGCUCUGCUCGCUGAGAAGGAUAAAGACUGCUGCUCUUCAUUAUCUGAUCUGACCAUCUUCAGUAGUCAUAUGGAUGCCGGAGAAAGUUUAAAGUAAAUAUAAGACUCAUCUGGCUGUGACUCAGUCUAGAAAAUAAAAAGGUAUUAUUGCUUAAGAAAAUAGCCAGAAAAGAUAUGCAAAACUGUAGGGUGACUUUAGAGAGAAGUGUGGGAGCAAGUCUUUAGAGUCAUAUUGUACUCACAGCUGCUAUUUGGACAGAAAAGUGCAGUUUAGCCAUCUCUGUUUUUCACUCUAUUUCAUGUAAUACAGAAUUCCACUUUUCAGGAGCAGAUCUUACCAAUUUGUUAAAGAUCUCCUUGAGGUCUUUCACGAGGAAAUCUUAUAGCUUCUGCCAUUAAUGCCAUGAGAUCUCUGACCUAGACUACUAGGACAGCAAUUUUAUGGGGCUAAACCCCAUAGAUAUGGGGCUUACCCCAGAGAUAAGGCCAGUGCAGAAUUCAGAAAAUUAUUUUUUACGUGGCACCUCUUUCAAAUCAUGCCUGGUAUAAGGGCCCUCACACUUGCACUAGCUCUUUAAGGGUUACUAUUUCAGUCACAAGCUUUGCCCUUCAGUUCCACAAAGAUGCUGAAAAAAUGGUUCUCCCCAUUUCCAUAGCUGUACAGGUAUUAUCCAAGAAUGUCUGGUAUGGUGAUGGAUUCAAGAACAAAGGAAAGAAUGGGGCAGGGUUUUGGAUGAAUUUACCUGAUAUUUAGAGAUUACUUUUUUCUUUCAAACUGAAACAAUUAUUAUUUUAUUUUAUUUUGGACAUGUUCAGAUAAUCACAAAUUUAAGGUAGUUAUUAAUAGUUAUAAGAUUAAAUUUUGUGUUAUAAAGUUAGCUAUAAUUAUUUUUGUCUAUUUUUGGAAACCAGUGACCUGCAAAGCUUGGGCAAGAGCUGUGGAUCCUGACUACUUUAUCAGGAAAACAACAGCAUUUCAGUGUCAAGAAACUGAGAAAACACAAAUUUUGCUUUGCUUAGAACAAGGUCUAUUAAAUUAAUGCCUGCAUUUGUUUUUAACCUAGUAGACUUUCUCUUCCCUCCACUCUCUCUUCUCCAUAUAUAGAAGUAUUCAACAGUUAUUAUAUAUUUGAAAUUCUUAGCUACCAGAAAGUAGCAUUAAUAGCUGGAAGUGCCUUUACAAAGGAAAUGUUCAUUAUUUUAUAGAUUGGAUAGACUUGGACUGUAAUUACAUACUCAAGAUCAUGAAGGAGACUCUUGAAAUUGUUUAGAAAUAAAGCUCUGAGCUACUUCCAAGCUUACGGCUGUUGUUGGUUUUGCCCUUUCCUAGAUGAUGUCAGACAAAUGAGGGAGUAAUAAGGAAUAAGGCAUCUAACUUUUAGACAAAUUGAACCCUAAAUUACCUAUAGCACUGACCAAGGAGACUUCAUCCUUAAGAACAAAAAACGUGAGAAAUCUGAGCUGGCUGUUAGGAAGUAGUAUAGGACUUUGUGCUUUCUACCCAAAGAAAACCAAAGGUGGGACAGUCGAGCAAAGUAUAACCUCCCAUGAGGAACUGUGCUCUACCUGGUAACCUUUGUGGAAAGAGAUGAGUUACCAGAGCCCAACUUACAUGCAGUCACUCACAAAGCUACAGGCAGUCACCAGUGGAUGCUUGGACAUCUGCCCAACAACCCAUUUUAAAGCCAAGAAGUUAGACAUACGCCCCAGUCAACCCCCUUCACAGGAGCUGGGUAAAAAAGAAACACCACAUAUUACUCUUAAGGAUACCUGAGAUCCAAAGCUAUGGGACAGAACUAAGAAAAGUUUUUUUCCAUUCCUUUACAUGGAAUCCAGGACUCUGUGCACAAUUUCUUAAAGAUCUGCUGGAUCUGAGGGAUGGAGAUAGUAUGGUGAAAUAAAAUAAAUGCAUAAGCAAACUGGUAAGAGAUGGGCCAACUUUUCUGGCCAUGAAUGUUUCAUACCAAACAAACUAAUAAUAUUUUAAGAAUAGCCAAGUCAAACGUUACUUCAUAUUUAACUGAAAUGUUUUUAAAAGCAGAACAAACGACAACAAAUACUGAGCAAAAUCUUUCAAGCAAAUUGAAAUCAUUUUGUCCAUCACUGUUUUUAUUAUUAUUAUUAUUUUUAUUCUGUCAGUGGAUCAGGAUAUUCAUUUUUGUGAUAGGUUCCAUUUAGUCUUUAUAAGAAGAAUUCAUGGUCUGUGGGAUGCUUUUCUCCUCCUGUGGGCUUGUAUAAUGGGUAUUGUGAGCCAUCACAUGGUUGUUCUGGAGAAGGUGCAACAGAAAAGGAUUUCUCUUAUUGCCAGAUAAAUUCUUUGAAGUAGGAUGGCUGCAAGCCUUUCCUCAUGCCACACUUUUCUGUGAGGACUAACAACAGCUGACCAACUUCAUCCCUGCCUCUUUUGUUUGCUGCCUUUGGCUUAUAGUCCACUGCCGGUGAAGAGUCAGAUGCCUCAGACUUAGAUGUUUUUAUGUCUAUCAGCCUCAUAGCUGGUUCCCAUAGCUUCUCACAUUGUUUUGAACCUGAAAAGGGGGCCAAGCUGAACACAUCCAAAUCCUUUCAUUUGAUCCUAGUUCACAUCAGCCAAAUGAAUGUGGAAUAUAAAGCACUGGAAGCAGAAGGUAAGGAUUAGGUUGAGUGCCGCCAGGCCUGUUCUGAAGAAGAGAUCUCAUUUAGGAUCCAUAUCUGUCAGUGAUGCUCACAGUUCUGAUACUGUACAUGGAAAGGUACAGAUGUUUGGAAAGUUCCCAAAACUCAGCAAAUUUAUUCUCCAAAGACAGGCAGCAAGACUUACUUACUGGCCUUCUAGUUCCCUUUGGCUGACUUCACCAAAAGAAAGAGUUUGUUCCCUUGGAGUACGCUUGUGUGGAGACUUGCAUAGUGAUGUGCAUGUGUUUCUUAAAGAAGAAGAAGAAAAAAAAAAAGCAGUAAAAGAAAAUCUCUGGGCAACGUAGUUUAUCCUGUAGAUUUCUAUUAUCCAAGCUAAAUGUAAAAGUGUUUACAGAAAAGAUAGUCUCUCCAAGACGACUGGGAUAGUAAGGCUGUGUUUUUUCUUCCUAAGAAGCUGUGUUUUUUCUUCCUAAGAAGUUGUGUUUUUUCUUCCUAAGAAGUUGUGUUUUGGAGAUGAGUUCUUCUGUACAUUCCCAGGUGUCUAACAUGCACAAAGCUCAAUUCUGUCACUGAAGUAAUUAACAGAGUCUCUCUUCUAAGCAGCUUGUCAGAACUUAAUAUCUCUGAUACCUUCACUUCUCUAAUUGUGGGCUCAAAUAUUUUUAGAGGAAGAUGGGCCAUGAAAAAGAGUGAGAGAUGAGUUGGCAUGAGUCAACUGAGUGUGUGUUUCUUUCACAGUCCCAGUGCAUGUCUCGUAUUCCCCCAAUAAUUUCACCCUUGUUACUGUUCCUUCACUUUUCUCUUCAUAUCAUGCAUGUAAUGCCCACCUUGAGCUUGCACAUAUGCCCACACACUAAACCACCACUAGGAAAUACUCUGCUACAGUACAUAUAUAAAAAUUACAUCACUUUAUUAAUCUUACAAUUAAAUUUGCUAGUCAGCUCUCACUGAGUUUUGUGUUUUGCACACAAUUAUCAUGGUAAGACUACUCAAUGGGACUGAUUAGUAUAAAAAGUCAUUUUCCAUCCACACUCUGGAGGUGGGAGCCAGUAGGGAGUGUGGAGGAGAGAGGACACACAAAACGGCAGAGAUUUCAGGAGCAGUGCUGACUCACUUCUAAAUUGCUUACUUGCUUUUAGAUCAAUUUUAUAUUUAUAGUGGGAGCCAUAAAUCUUAAGAAGACAAGAUUCCUAUUCAUGCUACUUUUCAUAACUUAUUUUGAACUCCCCACCUGAAGAACAGGCUGAAAGCCCCAUGACUGUAGUAUAUUAUCAUUCAUGAUGCCUGCCCAAGAAACGAGGCAAAUAGAUCUUACCAAAAAGAUAAAACACAUAAAUUUUAAGCCUCCUUACACGAUAUGUAAGUUCAAGCAAAUAUCAUCCAGUGGUGAAGUGACCUUCAAUAAUUUAGAAAAUUAUUUUUUUCAACUAAGAUUUUUGAAGUUUGUGAAAGCAUUUUAUUUCUUAUUUGCCUGUAUAUUAUACUAUUGAAGCGUCAAAAAUUUCCAAGGGUGAGAAAUUUCAGUUUCCAAUCCUUCCUUGAAGUUACACAGAUUUCCACAGAUUUCUCAUAAAUCUGAGAAGAUUUUACUUAAUUUAAUGGUUAUAUGAGAGAUUAGAAAAAUCCCCAUGGGAAAAAAAAAAAAAAAAAAAAAAAGAAGACACAUGGAAAAUAGUUUUGUAAAUCAAAGAUUGUUGUGAUGAACUUUGUUUUAUUUUUUUCUGUUUUAUACAAAUGUCUUUAAUUAUUUAAUUUUAAUAAAAUUAAUUUUAAAUAAAAUUAAAUUAAAUUUUAAAAAAAUUAAUUGUAAUUAGUAACGGCAAAAUAAACAAAUAAUAUUAUGCUUUAAAUCUACUGAAUCUUUACAAACAAACUGAGCUUUAAAAUCACACAGCAUUAGAAGUAUGAUCUGAUGGGUUUUUUUUGUUUUGUUAGGUUUUUUUUUUUGUAAUUAUUUUGCUAUGUUCUUAUUAUUCACUGAGCAAUUCCUACUGCAUACAGUAAGACUGGGAUUGAGAUCUAAGAUAGUUAUUUGAAAACAAAAUAAAG